rnacentral:tmRNA from 1 species
GGGGGCGAAAGGGUUUCGACCGAGCCCCGGAAGCUGAAGUGGCGCACCGAGGUUGUCAGGCGGCCUCGUAAAACACCUGGCACAACCGAACAUGCCGAAUACACACCGGCAUACGCGAUGGCUGCUUAACGGGCAGCCCCGCCUGCGCGGGCGUGACCUGCAAGCCCGCGUAAGGCGACAACAAAGCAGGUGUACCCGCCCCGUGCGCAGCCAGGUCGCAGGCGGGGAAUUCGCCUAACGGCGAACAUAACGGGCUGGUCGGGCCUGGAUCCCGUCGAUCGGAGCCGGGCCGGCGAGAUGCAAUAGGUCGACUAUGUGCGUAGAAGCUUCAGCGGAAGGGCCCUGGGACGCGGGUUCGAUUCCCGCCGCCUCCACCA